rnacentral:lncRNA from 1 species
CUCCCGCGUUCUGCUAUCCUCUCCUCGCCAGCCACCGGCGCUGGCCUCCUACUCCUCCGCCCUGCACUAUGCGCCUACGCCGGCCUGCUCGCCUCCCGCGCGCGAUCAAAGCCAGUCGGCUCCUCCCACCCCUUCGCCCUGGCUGCCCGACGCUGCUCUGAGAAUCAGGGAAUGUGCUUGCCCUUCUGAUCCAUACUCCUGUAGCUGAUCUUCGCUGGUACGCUAAUUAUCCCCGUGAUUCAUUUCUCUGUUGUAUGUAUGUGUGUAUAUAUAUCGAUCCUUUCAUACAACCUGCUCACAUCCUAUCUGAUUGAUCAUAUAUGAUGCAGUGUCGGGACACCAAGUAGUAUUUGUUCACUGCUCCGCAAAGUGAUUUUUACAUAAUAUUCGAUAUAUGUUUGAAUGUUUCUACCUUUUCUUGAAAGGUCAAUGUUUUGACCAUUGAUUAUCUACUGCAUCAAGCAAUCACAACUCACUUAUGUGCUGUAGGUCUAUAGUUCAAGUAGUUGUGGUGAUAAGCAGUCAUCGAAUCUCUAUUCAUGAAAUUAUUGCUUGCACAAGCCAUUCUGAGAGUUUUUUUCUUGACGAUCCAUGUUUACCACUUACUAGAAGUUAAAUUGAUCGCUACUCUAAAAUCUUGACUUUGCAGCUUUCAGGGCCUAAGGGUCUCAUUUUUUUCCUUGAAUUUUGACCAUAAAUUUAAAGUUGAUUUCAAAGAUUUUUUUUAUCGUAAAUUAUUUUUCAACCUUUGUUUCUAGAUUGCUAAGAAGAUGUAUAUAAAAGUUUCAUUCGUAAUUUUGUAAAUACAUCAUUCACUUUAGAGUUCUGGCAAGUUUUUCAGGUGAAGGCUAUACGUGGACCCAAUAUAUAUUUUUUUCAUGGCUAAGGGUUUUUGAGGACUAUGUUUCUCUUUGUACAUCCAAGCUCUUUGAGAACAUCCCACAUUAAGCUUAUCUAAUUGAGAAGCUUAAGUGAAUACUUUUGAGUGACCCCCAUGAAACUUGAAACUUGGUAGUUUCUUCUGCAGUGAAAUUAUGUGAUUAGUUUCAGCCAUAUGAACCUGAUCAAGGAGAUUUAGGUACCUUUUCUUUAGCAGAUCAGCUGAAAGCCUUGUUUAGCAUAUCGGAUAAUUGCAUCUAAACACAAGACCCAAACAUAUCCUGCUUUCUAUAUAAGUAAUACCUACUAAGGGUGAUUUACAGCAUAUCAAGCUUGAGUUUUGUGAAUUUUUACUAUGACACCACAUCCAAUUUAUAUUCUAUAUAUGCUUUUGUUCCAUGAAUUUUGUAUGCAGAGUAUAGUUUGUACUCUAACACUCCAGACAGAUUGAAUCCCUGAAUGAGGGUGUUUCGGUUGUUCAUAUUUUAUUGGUUCUCUCUUAAAGCAUCUCUAAUUGAGAUGGUAAAUCUGUAGUCCUGUGUGUAUGCUGAUGUUUUCCUAAAGACUUAUUCUGAAAAGUUUACCUGCAUGGGCUAUCUUUGAGACUUUGAACCUCCAAUCCUGAAAAACUGUAUACUACUUGGUUAAGGCAUGCAACAAUU